GCCGAAAUAGCUCAGUUGGGAGAGCAUACGCCUGAAGAGCGUAGGGUCCCUGGUUCGAGCCCGGGUUUCGGCA
rnacentral:tRNA from 1 species